AAUGCCCUGAAGGAGCUGGGAUUCCCGGCC
rnacentral:sRNA from 1 species